ensembl:lncRNA
AAGCCAAGCUGGAUUGGACUGAGAGGGAAGUUGAGAUGUGAUAUAAUUACAAUAGAGACUUCAGGUGAGCUUACAAGAUUGACAGCUAGAAUGGCCCUGUAGAGAUGUCCUGAAUGGAGUCAAGGGGUCUUUUUACCCCCACAUGAACAAGUAUAUAGAUAUGUGUUAGAUAUAGAGAAAAGGACAAAUAUGGGCUGAAACAGUUCUUUUCAUCUCAGGGCAAUUCCUGAGAGGGACAUACCUAUGAGCUUUCAGCAGUCAACACUUAAAGGUAGGGUAAGGGCAUAAUGAGAGUCUCUGCCCUGAAAGGAAGACCUGAGUGGUACACUCCAGUAUGCACUCUGUGGGGGCACUUCUUAACAGAGCAUCACCAGAACUACCAGGAAUUGUUGACUGACUUCUUUUUCUCUGUGGGUGACUGUGACCAUUUUAAUUUUCCAGGACUGCUAUAGCAAAGGGCCACAGACUUGUUGGGUUAGAACAACAUAAAUUUAGUCUCUCUCCAUUCUGGAGGCUAAAAGUCUAAAAUCCAGGUGUCAGUGGGGCCAUGUUCUCUCUGAAGACUCCAUCGGGGGAGCCUUCCUUGCCUCUCCUAGUUUCUGGUGGUUGCUGUCAAUCCUUGGCAUUUUUUUGGCUUGUAGAUGCAUCAGUAGAGUCUCUCCCUCUGUCAUAACAUGGCAUUCUCCUUGUGUGUCUCUGUGUCUAUAUGUUCCCCUCCUUUUUAUUUUUUGAGACUGAAUUUUACUCUUGUUACCCAGGCUGGAGUGCAAUGGUGUGAUCUCGGCUUACUGCAACCUCCGCCUCCUGGGUUCAGGCAAUUCUUCAGCCUCAGCCUCCUGAGUAGCUGGGAUUACAGUUUGCAAAAAGGCUUUUAUUCUCCAAUGAUCUAACGAAAUUCUCACAAUCACCUGAUGAUACAGGUAUUUUUACAGAUAAUGGACGUAGUUGAUGAAGAUGCUGAAAGUCAGGAGACACUCCAAGCUGGCUAAUGUUAAAGCCAAGAAUCACACCCUGAUUUCUGACUUCAGUGUGGUGUCCUUUACUGUGUGUGGUGUCUGUACAGAUCACACUUACAAACUUGACCUUCCAUGAAUUUAAAUUUGUGACCUGUUUCCCAUACCAACUAUCGGUGCAAGCUGCAAAUAUUAAAUUUAAGGGGCAGAUAUCUCCUAUAUUGCACCAUAAACAGAAAUGAUUGUGAAAAAGAAAAUAUAUUUUUUCAUAUGAAACAUUUAGGGUAUAAUAAAAAUGUAUUUGGGCUAUGAGAAACUUCACCUUUUUUCAUAAUUUCUCCCUCAUAAAAAAAUUGAUGCAUGUCAGUAAAUAUUCUCUCACUGUGUAUCAGGAAAGCAUGAUUGGCCCCAGAGAUUGACUAAAAGCAUCAGCUAAUGUCUGUGUUUCUUUAAAAUACAGCUUUGUAAGCCAGAGGUGCUGUGCCAGGUGCUAUGAAGGUUCCCAUGGCAACUUUAUCUUUAUUUUCCCUCCUGAAUAGCACUUUAAAUGGUGAUUUUGAAGCAGCACUCAUUUGAGAUUCUCAACCUAAAGGGUCUGUUUCAUUUUAAGCUGCAUUUACACAUCUCCAAACAGAGAGGAGAACUGAAUAAUUUCUUAAGGAACUGGGAAAAUGUAGACCUUCCAGCGCAUUUUAGACAAUCCACCUUUUCCUAUUAGUAUUACCUGAAUGAUCCCACACUUACUUGAACUCUAAACUUUGCUUUUCCUUGGUAGAAGUGCUGAAGACAUUUUAUAUCCUCACCCUUAUGAAAAAGAAAUUUCUAGAAACUAUUUGUAGAAAAACCAGGUUAGUGUCAUUGGGCAAAUACAAGGUAGAAAGCAUUGUAAUAUUUGGGCUGUCAAGAG